rnacentral:ncRNA from 1 species
UUUGAUGUCGAGUCUUCCUAUCAUACUGAAGCAGAAUUCUGUAAGCUUUGGAUUGUUCUCCCACUAAAAGGGAAACAAGAUCUACGGUUUGGACCGUCGUGGAGAGAGAUGAUGAGGCUGAGGAAGAAAAGGAGGCGGACGAGGUU